UAAAAUAUAAUGGUUUUGUUUGUGGAAACACCACGUAAAUCUAUUUACGUGGUGUUUCCACAAACAAAACCAUUAAAAUAUUA